ensembl:misc_RNA Metazoa_SRP Metazoan signal recognition particle RNA
GCCAGGUGUGGUGGUGUGCACCUGUAGUCCCAGCUACCUGGGAGGCUGAGAUGGGAGGAUCACCUGAGCCCAGGGAGGUUGAGGCUACAGUGAGCUGAGAUCACGCCACUGCACUCCAGCCUGAGCAACAGAGCGAGACCCUGUCUCUA